UGGGCACCCGCCCCCGCUGGACGGCAGCAGUGAUUGCUCAGGCCAGCACUGGGCUGGAGGCCCACAGGGCUGCACUGGGCAGCGACUCAGCAGGUGGGACGGAUGUUCCUGUGCAGCCUGCUCGCUGCUCAUUAACCUUCUGUCUGGGAGGAAGGCCCUGUCCUGGAGCUGGAGCCACAGCGGGCCUCCCCUGGCUGCCAAAGCCACCCCACCAGCUGUGGCUUCUACCAGAUCCAACGCGCCCGGGCUCGAGUCCCCAGCAGAAAGGAAGGUGCCUGGGCACACAGGUGCCAGCCUCUGAGCAAACCCACCCCAGCUCUGUCCCCCGGGGAGUGAGACCCAGGGUGGCUCUGUCUGUUCCACAAGGCUCACCCCAGCCUGAGCCACGUUGACCAGGAUCAGCUGCCCAGAGGGAGGCCGAGGACAUUCGAGGAAGGAUGCACACAGCUUCCUGCCUCGGCCUCCUGUGCGUCAAUGGGACACUGGCUGUUCUGGUUGGUGGCAUCUCUGCUCUCAGAGUUAAAAAGAAUGAAGUCUAAAUCCAACGCCAGCUUCGACCGGAGCGUCCCUGCUCCCAUUCGCCACCCUCACCAGUUCUCCUGUCGGGAUCCACAGCCAACGUCUCCCCUGGGCCUCUGAGGCACCCGUGUAUUCCGAAAGGUUCCGGGCCUGGCCCUCUGCCAUGCUGACUCUUACCCUCUUGCUCCGUUGCCCUCUCUGUGGCACCUGCUGCAGACACAGGAAGGGUCCCCUGCGAGUGCAGCCUAAUUGCCCCGGACUCCAGGCUCAUGGACAUCAUUCCCAACCGCACCAUGGAGUCAGAGCGUCCUCAGGACAAACUCCUGCUUUUUCCUGGUAACUGGGCCUGGGUCAGCCUCUGACUUUGUUUGGUUGAUGUUUUCAGUUAAGAACGAAAGUGCUUUGCAGGGUAAACCACUGAGGAAUGUGAGGACAGGGUCAUGGACACCACAAAGUCCCUGAGCAGGCGGACUGAGGACUAGAGGGAAGGCCACUUUUCCAGGUCAGGUGGUGGGACACACAUUGCCACAGUGCUGCCAAAGCAAAGCAAGGAAAAGCCACACCACCGUCCUCAUGUCCUCAUGCCACCAGCUCCUGAGCCGGAGCCAGCAAACAUCUGCGUGAGCUACUGCCAAAGAAGCGCCCAGCGAUCAGCGUUCCCUCUGCACGGCUGAGACUGGCCUGAGUCUCGGGGACCUGAGCCACUAAUACACCCUCAUGAGGCAGUGCCUCAGCGGGGGUCACCCUCCACGGGCAUCCCUGGUGCUGAGGUCACCCUCCAUGGAUACUCCAGGUGCUGAGGUCACCCUCCACGGGCAUCCCUGGUGCUGAGGUCACCCUCCGUGGACAUCCCAGGUGCUGAGGUUACCCUCCACAACCAUCCCCCGGUGCUGAGAUAACCAUCCACAAGCAUCCCUGGUGCUGAGAUCACCCUUCAUGGAUACUCCAGGUGCUGAGGUCACCCUCCACGGGCAUCCCUGGUGCUGAGGUCACCCUCCAUGGACAUCCCAGGUGCUGAGGUCACCCUCCCGGGCAUCCCUGUGGAGCUGCCCUGGGGGAGGGCGGGCCGAACAGGCUCAGGGUCCCCACACACAGAGAAGGCCACACAGUUCUCUCCACCCCUGUGGGGGACACAGAGCCGGCAGGAGGGAGGCCAAAGGAAGCAGGCGAAGCUCCAGCAGGCCCUGGCCCAGCUGCCCGGCCAUCUCACUGCACCCCUGGUCCUGUCAGGGUCACCAAGACUCUGGACACCAGUACCCAAGAACACAAGGGUGGCUGCUGGUGGUCACAGACACGCUGAAGGAUUCUGAACUGCACAGAAGAGUUAAAACAAGUGUAUUCAACAGAAACGUGAUUUAUAGCUUGCAACCCCAGAAAGAGAAAGGGUCUGGGGACAGCUCAUCUGUUCAGUGGAUAAGAGCAUCCACCCAGUGGAAACCGGACACACAACAUGAGGAGAGUACAGGCCGACUUCGGCUGGAACCUUCUCCCUACCUUUGCUGCUGCCCAGGACACCGAGUCACCAGAGAAAGUGACCCUCUGACUGACUGAGCUGCUGAAUACAAGGCAGAGCUGGUCUGCGGAGGCUGCCUCCGUCCGGGUUGCUUUCCUCCAUGAUGAUGCUGAGAGGCUUUGGUUCUUUUUGCUUGCACAAGUGACCAGUGAUGCAAGACUGGACACAUCAAUGAAGAUUCUCCGGCUGACGACUUCCUCUACAGAGCAGCAGAGCACAUUUACUCGGCACUCGUGGUGCUCCGGCCUCUGGAGGUGACUCAGAGGACACGCAAGAUGGGGCAGGGUGCACGCAGCACCACGCCACCCGAGGUGAGCCACCGUAAGUCCAUGGGUUGGUGUCCUUGUGGGGUCCUGGAGCUGUGCUCUGUGGAGACCAAGUCACCAGACAUAUGCACGGCCACGAGGACGGGUCUUACCCAUGUCUUUGGGGAAACCAAAGCAGCCAGCUGCAGUCUGCUACCACCUGAGUGGGUUUUGGUGUCAGACCCACACAGCGUGGGGAUCCCCUGCGGGGAGGGAGGGCUCUCACGGGGCUGCCGGCCACCUCCAGCCGCUGCCUGCUGUGCAGUCGUGAGCCCGCUAUUGUCUGCCAUGCACACACCUGCAGCAGAAGCACAACCCGCGAACAACAGUCAGACCCAAGGCCGGCGCCCCCCGACGGGGCGGGAAACCUGGGCCACCGGCCUAGAAGGGCAAGGGCCGAGGCCAAGGCCGCAGCUCCAGGCCCUUGCUGCACACGGAUGUGACGUCAAGCCCAGCUCCUCCGGUUUGCUCAGGACUCCUCUGUGAUGAGUAAAAUAGUUAAUUUGUAAAAUUCUUAUGGACCAAAAGUUGUAGGCCUGCCAGCUCUGCCAUCCAGGGGCAGAAUGACGUCACUUGGCUGGACACACUUCAGAGGGAUGGCCGAGGACAGAGGGGAAGCGGUGCGUCGAUGACCUCUUCAGCUGCGCCUACGCAGCGUCCUGGGAGCCCACGAGGCUGCUGGCUUCAGGACGUGGCCCAGUGUUGUUACACAGGCCUGCAAGGGACCCCGGGGUCAGGAGUAGCCCAGGGGUGGCCGGGCGCCUGCUUCCCUGAGCAGCCCAGGAGCAGGGGUGGGUGCUUGCCCUGAGGGGAGGCCCUGGGAGUACAGGUGCAAGCCUGGGCAAGGCCGGGACCAUGGGCACCCUGGAGAUUAGUGGGGUGCCUAUGAGGUGCUGCUGGGGGCAGGACAAAGCGGCAGAUCAUAAGGGUCUGGAUCUGGACUCAGUCCUGCAGGAGUGAGGAACCCUGAAGGAUGGCCAGUGGAGGCUGGAGCUGGAGGACACAGCCACUCCUUGCCUGUGGGCAGAUGACUCCUGCUCUUCCCAGAUGGCAGCUUGUGUUUCCCUCCCCUCCAAGGACACUGUGUCUGUCCUCUACCUCUUCAGUGCUGGGCAUCUGCAGUGCAGAGUGCAGAAGGUCCUCAUCCUGCAGCAGACACCAGCAGUGCUCACCGUGGGUCAGGAAGUAGUCCAACGCCUCCUGCAGGCCCCCGACCCCUGGGGCAGGUGGAUCACAUCCCCAUCUCAGAAAUGGUGGCAGAGGAGUCUGAAGGCGCCCAGGAGGCAGACCUAGAGCUAGAGGCCUGGAGCCGGUGACCCUAGCCUUGGCCCCACCUCUCAAAGAGGAGUGGGUCUGUCCUGUUUCAGGGAACAUGUGGAGGAGCUCCUGGCUUCGCUGGCUCUCCACCCUGUGUCCACAAUCCCAGGGUGAGGCCCCACCCUUUCCCUUUCUGCCUUCCCCAGGGAGUCCUCUGCACUCUGAGAUAUAGGUGCCCAGCACUGAAGAAGUGGAGGACCGACUCUGUGGCGCCUCUGCCUUUGGAGGCCAUGGAAACAAGACAAGCCACCAUCAGUGAAGAGUGGACCUCUAUCUGCCCACAGGCAAAGAACUGCCCACGUGAUCCCUCCAGCCCUGCCUCUGCUGGAACUCGGACUUGGAGUCCAUGGCUGUGAAGAGGGGCUCAGACAGGGCCCCUGGUCUGGGCCAGGACAUCAGCAUGUGAGGAGGGGCUCAGAUGCAGCCCUGGUCUGGGCCAGGACAUCAGCACUGGUUAAGAAGUUCAACGUCCGCUGCUUCUGUGCAGCACAUUGGGUAAAGAAGGAGGAGAAAUGGGCACAGUGUGACAGUGUGCCAAGCCCCUCUCCUGGGACACCCUGUCCCUGCUCACAAGGACCCCAUCAUGUGGACUUCUUUAUCAGACCAGGAGAAUCCGAGGCUCAGAGGGGCCCAGCAGGGCUCACGGUCACACAGCCCAAAGGAGGCAGCACUGGGGUGAAGCCAUCUCUCCUGAAAGCCCUGCUCUUCUCUGGAGCCCCACGCAGCCUCCCCUGGGAUGGGUGCUGGCCACCGUCAGAGGAGAGUCCUUGGUUAUUUCCCAGAAUGCACACAGAAACAGUCUUAAGCACAGCACCAUCUGUGAGCAGAAGAUAAGAGGGAACCACAGGCCAAACUCUGGGAAGAGUUUCCACUGAGGGCCCCGUUCCUGGGGACGGAGAUAGUUGCAGCCACCAAGUGGGACCUCUAAACCACAGGAAGGAAACCCAGCCCCUGAGAAGCAGGCCCAACGGCAGCCUCUGUGCCUUGUCGAGUCCCGGGCUGCUGGGAGAAGGGAUGCGUCAGCAUGGCCCUCCGACGUGAUAAGGAAGAGGGUGGAGAGUCUACCUCUCCCUGAUGGAGGAGGAAGGGCUCUGAUAAGCCCCAGCCCAGCUGCCUGCGGUCACCACGCAGCAUGUCCCCACCAGGGGACAGUGCUCUGAUUAGGUCAGGGAUCUCCCAAUGCCCCCAGGUCAUUCCAGGAUGUUCUCCUACCAUCGCACACACCAGCUUCUGGGGACAGUGAACACCUCAACCACAACACGCACUGAAGGCCAGGUGAGUGGAGCGCACACCCCGCGAGCCGACCAUGAUGCAGAGGACGUGAGCUUGGACUCCCCAGGACUGGUGGAGGGGUGUUGAAAGGAGGGAGAAAACGGGACAAGACCUGAAGGAAAAGAAAGAAGCGCAGCCUGGAAGUCGUCCCUGUCACACGGGAGGCGAACCGAGCGAAAUAAGAGAAGUCUGAAGCAGGAAGACACCUGCAAAGGAAAAUGACAGACAGUUCCCGAGGGCGGUGGGGACUGGAGCUGAGCAGUGAAGGGCUGCUCCAGGCAGGGCAAUGGGGUGGGGUGGGGGGGAUGUGUGCCCUGCGUCUGACCUAAGUGCACAGGAAGCCCCAGUGCCAGGCUCCGGGCAGGAAGUGAGUGCUCCACGCGGCAGGAAGUGAGUGCUCCACGUGGCCGGAAGUGAGUGCUCCACGCGGCAGGAAGUGAGUGCUCCACGGGAAACAGAGCAGAGCUGCGCUCCAACCUGUUCCUAGGGAGGAGGACAGGAUGCCGCCACUCACCCGAAAGCCUCCCCAGGGGCAUCUCUGCUCCCUCCUUCGCGGGGAGAAAGGCGGUGGCUGGGGCCAUCUGUCCUGUCCGUUUAAAGAACUGGUGUGGCGGCUCCACAGAGGACCCACAGACCUGGGCCCAGCGAGCUGCUGGUUCCACUCGUCCCCUCUCCCAGCCUCCCUUGCAGCGAGGGGCAGGCGCAUGGCUCUGCCCUGGCCAGUGAGAGGCUGUGGAGGCCUCUCCUGUGGUGUGAGAAGAGGAGCACCCACCAUAUGAACCCCACCCCUGGGUACCCACAGAGAAGGGUUCCACACUGCUGCGCCCGCCCCCCUGCUCUGGUGUCUACCCUGCAGCAGCCUUGGUGUGGCCGGCAGGUAACGGAGAUGCGGAGAGCUAACCACAGACUAAGGAUGGCAAGAUGGGAAGUGACCGGAGGGGCCUGGGAAGAUGUCUCCAAGCCUUUGUCUCUGCCCUGAGCGCCUGCUCGUGAAGUCAGAUCUACAGCUUUAUUACUGAAGCCACCGUUAGGCUGUCCUUUAUGCGUAACUGGAAGCAGAAGGGACACAGUCACCAGCAGUCUCCCCGGGGUCAGCUCCAAGAGGCCCUGGAUGCCCAGCCAUGAUGCUCAGGCCCCGCACACGCAGAGGACGUGGUCCCUGCAUAUGAUGGACACAAAUGCUCCUGUUGUCUGAACCCUCUCUAAAUGAGGUAUAUGCGGUGCAGUCACCGUAUGCAGGGAGCUGCUGCGGUGUGUCGUUAGGGGGUAAGGACAAGACAAUCUGCACGUCUGGUUUGCUGUUGGCUGACUCCACGGAUCCGAGGCUGUGGCUACAGAGGGCCAACUGCAGUAAUGGGAAAAGCACAGCGAGGAUGCCCGUCAUCAUCCCAUCAUCACGGGGAGAAAUGGCAUUCUAAACAGAACAAAGCAAGUUUUAAAGUGAAGGCUUUCACUAAAGUGCACUGUGAACAUCUAGAAGAUGAAUUAAGAUGAAGCAUUUCUACCGUGGAGAACGUGGGAUCCAACAUGUGAAUCGGCUACCCCAUUCCUGGGUACCCUUCCAAAGGAAAUGAAGUGGGCGUGCGAGAAGCACACACGGGCCUGGUAUGCACCACUCACAAGAGCUGGGAUGAAGAAGGUGGCCAACGCACAGGGAGCAGGACUCAGCCAGGAAGAAAGCAUGCAAUCCUGCCCUGGCAGCCCGGUGACGGAACUGGACAUCAGGGUAAGUGGCCCAAGCGACGCUGAAGGAAAAGUCCAUGCUCUUUUCACAUGUGGAAGCUAAAAAUGUUCUCCUGAAAGCAGGAUAGUACUUACUAAGUAAUGGAAAGGGGCUGGGGAGGGAGAGUGGAAAGAGAGUCUGGGUUUGAUCAGUGCACGCUGACAUAUGUAUGCAAACACCACACGGAGCCCCAGUAAUAUGCACAAUUACUGUGUGUUAAUAAAAAUGAAAAAAGAACAUUGGAUCGUGCGGUACUUAAGUUAAAAUUCUCUGACCCCAAAACUCUGUAUUCAACCACACUUUAAUGUUAUUAGCAAAGUUAACAGAAUCAUAUUUUCAAAUUUGCAAAGGACUUUGUAUCAUUUUGUUUUCCAGCCAAAUAAUAGCAAAAUACCUGAGGGUAGUUUCUUUGUAAAGAAAAAAAGGUUUACUUAGGUCACCAUUUUGGAGGGUAGAUGUCCAAGAUCAAGUGUCCUCUUCAGCCUGGCCUCUGGUGAAAGCACCAUUAGCUGCCCUCACAACCUGAAGGAGGAUCCCACAGGGGGAUGGCCAGUGCAGAAGGCGACAUUGGAGGGUAGAGAGGUUCAGGGGCAGGCCUGCUCUUCCCUGACAAAGAGCACCAGGCUCCGAAAGCCCAGCGUGGAUCCCUUGUGAGGGCCAUGCCCUUGGUGACGUCAUCACCCCCUGCUCAGUUCUGAAAGGCCCCGCCCUCUAGCAACGUCACCACACUGGGCGGAGCUUCCAGCAGGUGGUGCUUUGAGGGACAGAUGUACCCAGGCCAGCUCCAGACCCGGGUGGUGUGUAAAAAGAAACCCCAAUCCACCACGAAAAAGUAAAAAGCUCUGCCGCUCCCUGGGAGAUGGACAGAGUUCCAGUAUAAGAGUGUGCAGAAACAACAACGUGGACAAACAUAGGCUGGGGACAAGCACGUGGAACUGGCUUGAGUGUGGACCUAAAACUAAACACAAAGACCAAACUAUCCUGGAAACCGUGCGGUCAGCUUCGGGCCCAGGACAAGGCGGCGAGAUCAACCUCCUCCGCCUGCUCCCCCUCCAUCCUGAGAGCUGGAAGUGAUGAAGCAACACUGGAGGAUCUCAAGGGGAGCGGGGAGCAGGCUUGGGACCCAGCCCUGGGGGACACAGGGGCAGGCUGUCUUCCGCCCACCACCCAGCAAAAGGGGACAGGCACUGUCCGGCAUCCCCUGUCCUCCAAAACCCUGCAACAGGAGGCUCAUCUUCCCCCAGAUGGGACGGGGAGCCCUCAGGAAACACCAGGCGUGCCCGCCGAUGGGCCAGGGCUCCAAUGCACCCCACUCUCCCUCCCUGGCAGGCCAGAAAACCUGACCCACCAGGUGAAACACAAGGACCCAGCAGGAUGGACCCCCUCUGGGCACACAGCCUGGCUGGAAGCCUCCGUCCCCACUGAUGGAAGGUGCUCCACCCAGAGACCACUCAGUGGUCCUCACAGUGUCUGGCCGGGAAGCUCGCUCUGGACCUGCGAGCAGAAGAGCCCUGAGCCAGGAGCCUCUUCAUUUCUGCCAAGAGUCCCCUCUCAAGGGACAUGCCUGGCACCUUGACCUAAGGAAACCCUUUCUGCUCCUUGAGGCAGCAUCAGGAGGACCAGCAGGGCCCCAGAGGCACCAGGUAAACCAAGCUGACUCCAGUGUCACCACAGAGGCUCUGCGAUGACACUGUCAUUGAAACCAGGGUGCCCAAGCCCCAGCCCAGGACCAGCACUCUGAGCCUGAACAGGGCAGCUGUCUACCAGGGGAAGCACUGAUGCAGAGACUCCCAGCCAGCACCACCAUGGGGGAGUCACCAUCAGGGGUCACCAUGGGGGGAUCGGGCUGCAGUCACCCAAUGGGACUUGAAAGAAGCCAUCGUAAAAGUGCUUCCACAGUCACCAAUUCUUCUGAGCCAAAUGAAAGAUAAGGGACAUCUCAACAAAUAACAUAAGCCAUGAAAAAGAACCAGACGGAAGUUAGGGAGCUGAAGAAUGCAACAGCAGAAAUGAGAAACUGGCCGGAUAGGACAGCAGAGAUGACAGAGGUUGGACUCGAUCACUGUGGCGAUGGAUCAGUUUCAACAGAAUUCACUCCAUACGAGUGACGAAGGAAAACAGAGAACAAGAAAAUGGCACUUCAGGGGCCUAUGACACACACACACACACACACACACCCACACCCACAUUCACUGCAAUCCCAGAAGGACAGGCAGCACAAGGCUAAGGCAGGAGGAUCUCGAUUUCAAGGCCAGCCUCAGCAACUUAGUGAAGCCCUAGGUAACUUAGUAAGACCCUGUCUCAAAAUAAAACCAAGAGGGCUGGGGAUGUGGUUCGGUGAUUAAGCGCCCCUGGGUUCAAUCCCCGGUACCAGAAUACACAAUAAGUAAAGUAUAUUAAAGGAGCACUCAAAGACGUAAUGGCUGAAAAUUUCCAAAUUUGUUGAAAAGCACAAACCUGUAGAUUCAAGAAAAAGCGUUGUUCCAACGCUCAAACAGGAAAAAUUCAAAUGAACCCAUCCUAAGACACAGCAUGAUUAAACUUCUGAAGACUAAAAACUCAGAGAAACUCUGGAAAGCCGCCAGAGUGAAGUGAUGCGUCCCUCAGAGUGGAAAGGAAUUCAAAUGACAGCCGAGUCCUCAUUUAGAAAUCACAGAGGCCAGAAGUAGUACAAAAGUUCUCAAGUUCUGGAGGAUAAAAGAACUGUCAACUGUGGGUUUAUAUCUGGCAAAAUUAUCCUCUAGGAAUGAGGGGAAAUCAAAACGUCCUCGGAGGAGAAAAGCAAAAGGCAUUUGUCACCCUCAGACUCCCCACUAAGGGCUGCCUGAAGGACACGCUUCCAACAGAAAGCAAGGCCCCAGCUCCGUGGAAAUGCAGGCGCGGGCACCAACUAGCCCUUUCCUGGGCUUCAUGAGUCACGGAAAGCCAUCGAGGCAGAAGUUACAUCCCUGCCUGAGGCUCAAGACGGUGCUGCUGAGGAGGAGGCCUCUGGGUCCAUUUCCUGCUGCCAUCCCUGGAUGCCUGAGAUGCUAAUUUAUAAAGAAUGAAGGAUUAUUUCUUACAGUUCUGAGGCUACAAGUCCAAGAGCACAGCUGGAAUGUGACCAAGACCUCUUGCUGCGCCGCAAGGGCAGCCACAUGGUGGGGAGUGCUGGGAGUAGCGAGAAGAAGCUGGCCAACCUCGCCCUUUCACCAUUAGCCCACUCCUGCCAUCGACAGCCCACUCAAGAUGGUGGCCUGUGUCUACCCAUGACCUUGGUCUCCUAGAGGCCACCUCUAGCCCUGCUGCAAUGGCAACUGAACGUCACAAGGGCCUGGGAGGGGAGGUCCAGACCACAGAGGGAUGGCAAAUGGACCAGGAGGAUGUGUCCUGAGGUCAAGAGCUGCUGUCACAGAGCAGCCACUCCAUAAACUGCCCACAGACAGACCUGUGCACCCCCGAUCCUGAUGCCCGCUCAGGUCACAAGGAAACAAGAGAACAGGACCCAGAGGGACCAAGCUGAAAGCCGGCAGGAAAACUGCCCCAAAGAAUUAGCAUAAACACAAAUGAACUAAGUAGACAGGUAUCGGCAGAAAGCAGCAAGUACACGCUGUUGAGAGGAGAUUCACGUCAAAUUCCACAGCACCGGUAGGAUAGGGGAUGACAUGCCCUCCAGGUAGCAUUUUGGUUUGGGGGUAGGGGUGCUUGGGAGGGCAGGGAGGUACCAGGGAUUGAACCCAGGGACGCUUAGCCACUGAGCCACAUCCCCAGCCCUUUGGGUAUAUGUUUUAUUUUGAGACAGGGCCUCUUUCAGUGUUGAGACUGGUGUUGAACUCAUGAUCCUCCUGCCUCAGCCUCCUGAGCUGCUGGGAUUACAGGUGUGGCCACCGCGCCCAGCACAGAUAUCAACUUUAAAAAGCGGCAGUGGACAUAUUAAUAACCAAUAAAGUAGACUUUGGAACAAAGAAAAUUAUUAGACGUGAAGAGAGAAAUUAUGCAAUGGUAAAAAGGAUCCAUCCACCAGAAAGACCACCUUAAGUGUGGACUGGCCAAAAAAAAUACGUGAAACCACAAAGGACAGAGUUAGCAGGACAGCAGAGGAACUCUCAGUUAUGGUUGAGAACUUUAACCCCCUCCAUCCAGCAAAGGACAGGACUAGCAGAGAGUCAGCGAGGCCGAGGACCCCAAAGCCCAGCCCACAGGCUCCCGACACACGCACCCCCUCCCAGCAGCCAUGGAAUGUGCGUGAUUUAGACGCCUGUGGGAAACUCACCAAGACAGGCCACCCUGGAAAACCAGCUGCCGAUGUCCUUUGAAAUGGCAGAGUGUGUCCUCUGAUCACAGUGGAGUCCCCUGAGAAGCCACAGCAGGAGAUACCCGGGAGGUGGCUGGGUACAGGGAGACAACCUGCCCUUUGAACCCAUGGUUCACAGGAAAAACCUCAGUCCACAGAGAAUAGAACCAAAGUGGAAAUACAGCACCAACUGAUAUCCAAGUCUCCACGGUGAGAACCAGGAACUAGAGGAGGGCGGGAAAUGAGAAGCCCUAAGCCGGCAGGGGGAGAAACCAACAGAGAGCAGGAAACAAGGAGACAGGAGGCAGGAGAUGGCAGGGAAAGGCAAUGAGAGAAAACCAGCUCCUAUGGAAAAAGGAAACCAACAGACAUCUAAUAACAGCAUCAGCAGUCAGGAGAGGACAGAUCUCCAAGGCCAGGAGGGGAACAGGGAGGUCCCCGUGGACUCCAGCCACCAGGAAGGUAAUAAGGGGAAGCUGCAGAGGAUCCUACACUCAGAAGUCCAGCGACUCGGCAGAACUCGUUCCUGGGCCAUCAAAGCUAGUUCCUGGGAGGGGCUGCAGAUGCCAAAACAGACAAAAGGCACAAUUGGAAUACUCCCAUAAUCUCUAAAGAAUUAAAUUAAUCAUUUAAAGGCUCCCAAAACCUAAAGGACAUCUCCAGGCCCAGAUAGUUGACAGGGGAAUUCUACCACUUAAAUAUGAAUUAACACCAGCUUGGUAUAAUUUCUCUGAUGCACAAUUUUAGACAAUCUUUCUCAUAAAAUAGGAGAAAUAGGAAUCCCUCCUAAUUUAUUUUGUGAGACCCGAUAACAAAAACAGACAGGUAAUGUCAAAAAGAAAAGAAAAAGAAAUUAGAGACCACAUCUCUUAUGAAUUUGGAUGUAAGAAUCCUGACAAAAUACUCACAGAAUGAAUCCAUCAAUAAACAAAAAGAAUCAGACACCAUGACCAAGCCAUGCUCGAUUCAGUAAGCAGGGCUGGUUAAGCCACAGGCAGUGAGGGGCUGGGGACAGUUCGGGGGGAUGCUCACACAGCAAGACCCAGGCCCGGGUUCCACCUCCAGCACUGCACAAAAGAAACACAGGAAAGUCCAAAACAAACCCCCAAACAAUCAGUCAACAGAUGCAAUCUACCAUAUCCACAAAUCAAAGACAAAAAAUCAUAUGAUCCUAUCAACUGGCUCAGAAAAAGCAUUUGACAAGAUCUAACACUCAUUAGCAAUUAAAAAAAAAAAAAAACUCUCAGAAAAGUAAGAAGAGAGGGAGUGGGCUGGACGUGGUGAAGAGCAACUCACAUUGGCUGAGAAGAGAUCCCAGAGGUGGACCCAUGUAAUCACAGGGGGAAACAAGAGCCCAGACCCCGACCUCACAGCUCAGCGAACUGGUAACUCCAUGCCGAUCACGGAUUUCAACAUCAAGUGUAAAACUAUACAAUCUUUAGAAAAGAAAAAAAGAAAGGAGAAAACCUUUGGGAUCUAGGGCUUCAGACUUGACACCAAAACUACAAUCCAUAGUAGGAAAAUUUAAUAAAUUGAACCCAAUCAAAAUGAAAAACCUUCUCUGCCAAAACCCAAGGGAAGAGGAUGGGAAGGGAAGCCACCCUGGAGGUGGGCACGAGCACCUUCCAAGCAGGAGGCGGAAUCCAGAGCAGGCAGGAGGCCUCCCACAUCAACAGCACUCAAACACGUCUCAAGGGCAUUAUGAUGUGGUGACCCCCGUGUGAGUUCAUUUAUGUGAAACGUUGGAAAUGGCAAAGUUUGAGAAAUGGAAGACAGACCAGUGGUUGGCAGA